CUUCACUACAGAUUACAUCAUGUACCUUUCUAACAGGUCAGAGAAUACAUAUUUUUGUGGGCGUUCUUCUUUAAUUAACAGCUCUAUUAUGACUUAAAGUGGAUGUCUGCUUUUUAUUUUAUUUUUUUACCUCCCUGCUCCCCCGCCGAUCUGAUAUUAAUAGGUCAUCAAUAGUAAAAAGUGGACAACCCCUUCCAAACUGUGAUGCCAGUGUGAACAGAGCCUAUUUCUGUAGAACUGUAGCAGAAAUUUCUGCCAUUACACGUCGGUUCCAUCGUGAAUGGAGUUGUUUUUGAAACAAAAGCACCGCCUAUUCAGAUGAUUAUUGCAGAAAUUUCAGCACAAAGAGCAAAAGAUAUUAAAGAGUAAUUCCCAUCUGCAAUAUUUUAUGGGAUGUCAAUAGGAUGCACCAUAGAUGCUAGAUAGGUGCAGGGUGCUGUGCUUGCAUGGGUUGCUGUUCUUUCACUUCUGGGCCCGUUCUUGAGACAGGAGCAGAUCCCAGUGGUGGGACCUUCUCCUAUCAGGAAUUUAUGGUGUAUCCUAUCAAUGCGUCCUAAAUGUACCAGAUGGGAAAGUUUCCACGUGGUGUUAAAAGUCCCAUUCUAUAAAAUUGAAUCUGUUGUUCUCUUCCCCUUUUCUGUAACUGUUUAUAACGGCAACCCCUAGAGAUGCUGUAAUGGCUGACAUUUCCUGACUGCUUUAAAGCUUUGGAAUCUUAAGGGAAUAGAGCAUUUCUAGGUUGGCAUUUGUAUUGGUAAUUUAUAUAAGGAAUCCCACCCAAUACAGCUGUAAACUAUAACUUCAUACAGUGCACUCUGCAAUUUUGGGCUGUUUAUUUUAUUUAUUUCUUAUUGUUAUUUAUUCUUUUAGAUUACAUCCACACGAUCCCUAGUGUUUUUGUUUAGAUGUCUUACAUUGACUCCAGUAGGAUUUCACUUGCAUUUUGCAGUAAAAAAAAAAAUCAGUACACUGCAUUAUAGCUUGUGUUAUAUUUAUUUCUUGUCUAAAGCAGGAAUGAAAAGGGAAAGAAAAGUAUGGUAGCCUUUCCAAAAUGAUUUAAAAAAAAAAAAAAUUAUUUGGUUUAAUUUUUAUUUAUUAUUUUAGGCAGGUGUCAUGCCAAGCUAAUCACAAUUUUUUUUAAAUAAAAUUAUUCAUUAUUGGAACUGAAGUUGAGCAUUCUGGGAUAGGAAAUAGAUUGUUGAAAAUUUACAUUAACACCUGAUAGCCCCCUUUAAACAAUUGAUGGUUUUGUUUAAAUCAGUAAAACUGGUUUUUUUUUUUUUCCUGAAGUUGUUAGUAGAGCAAUAACUGCACUUAGUUACAAUUCUGUAGGUUUUUGUAUGAUACGAGAUGUUUUUGUGAUGUGUAUUUGCUGUAAUAUUUGAAAUCCUGCACCUUUUUACUGUUACAUUUAUGUGUAGUUUUUUGGUUGAGUUUCAUUAUGUCAAGCUUUGAUUUUUGCUAUGUCCUGGCCUAUGCCAUUUCACAUUGUUUUUCUAGCGUGUGACAUCUACGGUAUCUAUACCAAUGCAAGCCCACAGAAAUGCAGGGAGCAAUCUAACAACUGUGUUUCUGUAUUUAUUGCAAGCAUUUUUGUUUUCUUCUAAAGUAUUAAUGUUUGUUUGGGGUAAAUGAUAGCUGUUUUACUUUAAUUUGUACCCUAGAUAGGUUCAGGAUAAGUGCCAAAAAUGUCAAAAUGUACAGUGUUUCAUCUGAAUGUCCCUAUUAGUAAGGGUGAAUUUAAGUUCCAGUAAAAUGAUUGCAUUUUCUGUUCUGCAGUAUUGUCUUUGAAGUCAUGCAAAAUAAAUAAUUUCCACAUAAUAGGAAUUUCUACCAGCAUCUAAGCAAUAGCAAGUGAAAAAGUAAAAGUAAUUGUAGGCAACUACUGUACAUAGGAAUAGCAAUUUAUUACUAAAAAUAAAAAGUGGCAAUUCUUUUAAGCUAUCUGAAACAGGCGAUUAUUUCUACAGUCAGAGCAAGGCACAUUGGUGCUACCAUUUCAGUCUAGCUAGAAGUUGACUUAAAUAAGGACUGUGCCACCCCACAAGCUGGCAUUAUUUUAUUCUAAUACAGUCACAGAAUGUAAAAAGGCAUCACAAGAUAAAGCUAUAGUAAGACAUUUGGGUUCGAACCAGUCCACAGGAUCUAUUAGGCUACUUUCACACCAGCGUUUUCCCUUUCUGCUAUUGAGAUCCGUCAUAGGAUCUCAAUAGAGGAGGAAAAAAAGCUUCAGUUUUUUCCCCAUUCAUUGUCAAUGGGGACAAGACAGAACUGAAGGGAAUGUAGUGCCCCAGAAUGCAUUCCGUUCUGUUUUCAUUGCAUUCCCAUGACGCACACAAAAGCGCAGCAAGCAGUGUUUUUGAGUGCGUCCAGGGAUGUGGAGCAAAAGAAACUGGAUCAGUCCCCUGUUGACUUACAAUGGUUUUAGAGAUGGAUCUGUCAUGGCGAUGUUUAAGAUAAUACAACCGGAUCUGUUCAUAACUGAUGCAGACGGUUGUAUUAUCAUGACGGAAGCGUUUUUGCUGAUCCAUGACGGAUCCAGGUGUGAAAGUAGCCUUAUAUAGACCCACAGAAUGCAAGAAGAAGGAUGGAAACUGCUCACACCCUAUAGUCUCUUACUAUUGACAGCGUUUCUCAGGUCUUUAUUCUGGGACAAAAUACUGUAUAUAUUGGGUGAAUAAAGGUUGCGACCUGUGAUUAUCCUGAGUGCUGGACUUCUAUUUUAUGCCAGCUUUCAGCACUUCAUUUGACCUCCUUGCUCAACGUCAGACAGUUUAUCUUUAUAGACCCUAGACUUGGUGACAAUCAAGACGUGCAUAAAACAGACUGUAGCUGCAUUAGUCUUUUAUUUUCUGUUAGGCGCUGUAUUAUAGUCCUGUAUGUCAAAUUUAACCAUGUGGUUUUGACAUGAAGCAAUCCGAGUAGUAGUGUCCUUGACGAAUAGUGCCACCAGGGCAUGAUAGAUAGGCCAUACUGUUGUUUUGUAAAGUACAGCUAUUCACAAAUGUAUAUUUAAUGGUAAAUAUGAUUGGUUGGCAAUUUGAAUUAUAUAAACCAGCAAGGAAACAACACCCACCAAUAUGACUUGUUCGUUUUCAUCCUCUAAGAGCCCUUUAAUGACCAAUUGUUGAUGGAAACUGACAACUGGCUUGUGUAAACUCUCCACCGAUCAAACACUCAUUUGCCGUUUGAUCCCAUCUUUCAUGCAUCAAACAGGGAUGAACUGGUGUCAAUAAUGAAAGCGUAUGUGAUGACCAAUCAUUCGGGCACAUACAGUACAUGUAAAUGGAGCUAAAGAAGCACCAAUCAACUUGCUGUAUCAUCAAACAGCACUUAUUUCGGGCAGAAAAAGGACCCUAAAUUACCAACAUAUUCAAUAACGGUUUACUAAUUGGGCAGAAAAGUGUGUAAAACACUAUUCAUCUGCUUUGGAAAGCAAAGUCUUCAGUAUGCUCUGUCUGUUGCAGACAUCAACCGGAUUUUCCUUACAAACGAUGAAAUCCAUGGCCAAAUUCACACCUGAAUGUGCAUGCAGAUUUUUCCAACAUGUGGGAACAUAGCCUAAUGCAUCUGUUGGCUAUUUAUGAUGUCCAGCAGAGGCCUACUGUAGAUUUCAGAAUCGCCAGUGAGACAUCAAGCCAUCCACACAUGGUCUAUUUGCCACCAUGUCCAAUCCUUCACAUUACUGGGUGCAAUAUUAAGUGUAUGGCUCAGGGAAGAAUCCAUUAGAAGGUACUGUUAGAUGCAGUCUGCAGGACAGCGACCUUUAAAUAGAAGACUGCAAAUGGUAGAGUCUAAGAAAAAAUAUAUAAAUGGUGUAUUUAUCUCAUUAAUAGAAACAAGAGACUUGCAGGAUACCCUUUAAUGGCUAAUAAAAAUAGAAGCAAUGAGGUUACGGAGCAAGUUUUGGAGAUAACUCGGGUCUCUUCAGUAGGCAUAGCACUAUACCAGAUGAACGGACCUAAGUUUUAUUUCUCUUAAUGAGAGCAGUAAACCAUGUUUCCACUUGUCUUUCAUGGUACUUUUGACUAAAGUAUAGAAAUAGCUCAUUUUAAAGGGACACUAUCACCAUACUGUAGUUCAGCACAGUGCUGCUUCUUGAUGCUGGCUUCAUAAAAUGUGUGUUAUAUAUCAAUUUUAUGACUAUAUUACAUGUGUUAUAAGGUCUUUGAUGCAUGUUUUACUGGCAGAAGAAAAACAUACAUUUUCUGUGUAAUAUUGAAAGCCCUUAAAUGGGUUGUCCAAUGACAAAGAAACACUUACAGGAUAGGGAAUAAGUGUCAGAUCUGUGGAGGUUCGACUGCUGGGGCCCCUGAUGAUUUUGAGAAUGAUGACUCCAUUUUGAAUGGAGUGGCAGUCACGCUGGCACCCUCCCACUACAUCCAACUCUAUAGGACUACCAGAAAUGGCUGAAUGCAGCUGGAAGCCACGUCAUCAGCCCCCCACCGAUCAGACAUUUAUUCCAUGUCCUGUGGAGAGGGGACAAGUAUGUCAUGGGAUAACCCCUCUAAAUCACUUCUUUCAUUGGCCAUUUCUUUGUCCAAAAGGGCAAAUAAGCAGCCACUCUGUGACUACUUUGGUUGUAUCCCUUGAUUCCUGUCUUAAGCUUUAUUUGCUCAUUGCAGAUUUUGUCGAUAUUUUGGAGCCAAAAUGAGGAGUGGAUUCAAAGAAGAGAAAUGUAAAUCUUUCCAUUAUAUUUACCUUGCACUUAGGAUCCAUUCUAAGAUUUGCCUUCAAAAUACUGACCACAUCAGUAUUGUGUGAAUAAGGCUGUUCACGUGUGUAACAUGUUGGGCGUUUGCACUGUCAUGGGCUUUUUUUUUUUUCUAGCCCAUACAAUUCAGGUCCAGCCCUUGACCAUUUGUGGAAGAAGGAAGGGAGCAAUAAUUAUUUUUGCAAACCUGCAUGUAACAAAUUUCUUAACCUCAGCUUUACCAUCCAGAUACAUUCUGAAUGAUGUAUUAGAUCAGUGCUACAAGUUCUUUGAGAUUUUUCUGCGAUUUGUUGUUGUGCGACUGUAUUUGAGUUGCGAGUGGACUGU